rnacentral:tRNA from 3 species
UGCGGGAUGGAGCAGUCUGGUAGCUCGUCGGGCUCAUAACCCGAAGGUCGUUGGUUCAAAUCCGACUCCCGCAUCCA